UACGAAGGGGGCUAGCGUUGCUCGGAAUCACUGGGCGUAAAGCGCACGUAGGCGGAUUGCUAAGUCAGGGGUGAAAUCCUGGAGCUCAACUCCAGAACUGCCUUUGAUACUGGCGAUCUUGAGUCCGGGAGAGGUGAGUGGAACUGCGAGUGUAGAGGUGAAAUUCGUAGAUAUUCGCAAGAACACCAGUGGCGAAGGCGGCUCACUGGCCCGGUACUGACGCUGAGGUGCGAAAAGCGUGGGGAGCGAACAGG
rnacentral:rRNA from 1 species